rnacentral:rRNA from 1 species
UACGGAAGGCAGCAGGGGGAAUAUUGCACAAUGGGCGCAAGCCUGAUGCAGCCAUGCCGCGUGUAUGAAAAAGGGCCUUCGGGUUGUAAAGUACUUUCAGUCGUGAGGAAGGUGUUAAGGUUAAUAACCUUAGCAAUUGACGUUAGCGACAGAAGAAGCACCGGCUAACUCCGUGCCAGGCAGCCGCGGUAAUACGGAGGGUGCGAGCGUUAAUCGGAAUUACUGGGCGUAAAGGGCACGCAGGCGGUUAAUUAAGUUGGAUGUGAAAUCCCCGGGCUUAACCUGGGAAUGGCAUUCAAGACUGGUUAGCUAGAGUCUUGUAGAGGGGGUAGAAUUCCAUGUGUAGCGGUGAAAUGCGUAGAGAUGUGGAGGAAUACCGGUGGCGAAGGCGGCCCCUGGACAAAGACUGACGCUCGAUGUGCGAAAGCGUGGGGACGCAAACCGAGGGAUUAGAU